GACGAACGCUGGCGGCGUGCCUAAUACAUGCAAGUAGAACGCACAGUUUAUACCGUAGCUUGCUACACCAUAGACUGUGAGUUGCGAACGGGUGAGUAAAGCGUAGGUAACCUGCCUGGUAGCGGGGGAUAACUAUUGGAAACGAUAGCUAAUACCGCCUAAUAUUAAUUAUUGCAUGAUAAUUAAUUGAAAGGUGCAAUUGCACCACUACCAGAUGGACCUGCGUUGUAUUAGCUAGUAGGUGAGGUAAUGGCUCACCUAGGCGACGAUACAUAGCCGACCGGAGAGGGUGAUCGGCCACACUGGGACUGAGACACGGCCCAGACUCCUACGGGAGGCAGCAGUAGGGAAUCGUCGGCAAUGGACGAAAGUCUGACCGAGCAACGCCGCGUGAGUGAAGAAGGUUGUCGGAUCGUAAAGCUCUGUUGUAAGAGAAGAACGGGUGUGAGAGUGGAAAGUUCACACUGUGACGGUAUCUUACCAGAAAGGGACGGCUAACUACGUG
rnacentral:rRNA from 1 species